rnacentral:rRNA from 1 species
UUUAAAUGGCCGCAGUAUACUAACUGUGCAAAGGUAGCAUAAUCAUUAGUCUUUUAAUUGAAGGCUGGUAUGAAUGGUUGGACGAAAUAUUAACUGUUUCAUGGAAAUUUAUAAUAGAAUUUUAUUUUUUAGUCAAAAAGCUAAAAUUAAAUUAAAAGACGAGAAGACCCUAUAAAUCUUUAUAUUUAGAUUAUUAGAAUUUUGUAGAAUAUUUUUGUUAUAAUAAUUGAUUAUAUUUUAUUGGGGUGAUAUUAAAAUUUAAUAAACUUUUAAUUUAUAAAAAUCAUUAAUUUAUGAAUUUUUGAUCCGUUAAUAACGAUUAAAAAAACAAGUUACUUUAGGGAUAACAGCGUAAUUUUUUUGGAGAGUUCUUAUCGAUAAAAAAGAUUGCGACCUCGAUGUUGGAUUAAGAUAUAAUUUUAGGUGUAGCCGCUUAAAUUUUAAGUCU